UGGUGCUUUUACGUGCAGACCAAGUCCAUGUUAAGUUGUUUUUUUUAACUAUUUACUGAAUUCUAGGUUUUUGAGGGUACUCCGAACCGGAGGGAUCGAUCAAACCCAAUAGUCUACCCCGACCGUUGAGUCUCUCGCCAAUUUUCACGGAGAAGCAAUCACUUACCCCAGAGAAACCCUAAGUACGCGCUUUAACAUAAUUAAUGAUCCUCUUCCGUAGGUGAACCUGCGGAAGGAUCAUUAAUUAUGUUAAAGCGCCUUACCUUAGGGUUUCCUCUGGGGUAAGUGAUUGCUUCUACACUGUGAAAAUUUGGCUGAGAGACUCAGACUGGUCAUGGGUAGACCUAUCUGGGGUUUGAUCGAUGCCACUCCUGGUUUCAGGAGUACCCUUCAUAAUAAACCUAGAAAUUCAGUAUUAUAAAGUUUAAUAAAAAACAACUUAACAAUGAUCCUGU
rnacentral:rRNA from 1 species